rnacentral:rRNA from 1 species
UCGGAUUGUAGUCUGCAACCCGACUACAUGAAGCUGGAAUCGCUAGUAAUCGCGGAUCAGAAUGCCGCGGUGAAUACGUUCCCGGGUCUUGUACACACCGCCCGUCACACCAUGGGAGUCGGAAAUGCCCGAAGUCUGUGACCCAACCUACGGGAGGGAGCAGCCGAAGGCAGGUCGGAUGACUGGGGUGAAGUCGUAACAAGGUAUC